rnacentral:sRNA from 1 species
GCUGAGCGCGGUGGUGCACGCCUGUAAUCCCAGUGGCUUAGAAGGCAGAGGCAGGAGGAUCACGAGCUCAAAGCCGGCCUCAGCAAUGGCAAGGUGCUAAGCAACUCAGUGAGCCCCUGUCUCUA